rnacentral:rRNA from 1 species
UUACUUAAGCAUAUCAAUAAGCGGAGGAAAAGAAACUAACAAGGAUUCCCCUAGUAACUGCGAGUGAAGCGGGAAAAGCUCAAAUUUAAAAUCUGGCGGUCUUCUGGGCUGUCCGAGUUGUAAUCUAGAGAAGUGUUAUCCGCGCUGGACCGUGUACAAGUCUCCUGGAAUGGAGCAUCAUAGAGGGUGAGAAUCCCGUCUUUGACAUGGACUGCCAGGGCUUUUGUGAUGCGCUCUCAAAGAGUCGAGUUGUUUGGGAAUGCAGCUCAAAAUGGGUGGUAAAUUCCAUCUAAAGCUAAAUAUUGGCGAGAGACCGAUAGCGAACAAGUACCGUGAGGGAAAGAUGAAAAGAACUUUGGAAAGAGAGUUAAACAGUACGUGAAAUUGCUGAAAGGGAAACGCUUGAAGUCAGUUGUGUUGUCCAGAGAUCAGCCUUGCUUUUGCUUGGUGCACUUUCUGGUUCGACGAGUCAGCAUCAAUUUUGACUAUUGGAAAAAGGCUAAGGGAAUGUGGCAUCUUUGGAUGUGUUAUAGCCCUUGGUCACAUACAAUGGUUGGGAUUGAGGAACUCAGCACGCCGCAAGGCCGGGUUUUAAACCACGUACGUGCUUAGGAUGCUGGCAAUAUGGCUUUAAUCGACCCGUCUUGAAACACGGACCAAGGAGUCUAACAUGCCUGCGAGUGUUUGGGUGGAAAACUCCGAGCGCGUAAUGAAGUGAAAAGUUGAGAUCCCUGUCGUGGGGAGCAUCGACGCCCGGACCAGACCUUUUGUGACGGUUCCGCGGUAGAGCAUGUAUGUUGGGACCCGAAAGAUGGUGAACUAUGCCUGAAUAGGGUGAAUCCAGAGGAAACUCUGGUGGAGGCUCGUAGCGAUUCUGACGUGCAAAUCGAUCGUCAAAUUUGGGUAUAGGGGCGAAAGACUAAUCGAACCAUCUAGUAGCUGGUUCCUGCCGAAGUUUCCCUCAGGAA